UCGUUCGGGUGAAUGCUUGCUUUUAGUCGCUGAAGAAUAACGACGUUGUCGCCACGAUGGGAAAGGGAGGCUUUGCAAACGGUUACCUGCAGACGAAGAGAGGAGCAGCAGCAGCGGCGACAACUGGGAUCGCCUUCAUGCUCUUGCUCCUCCUAAACGUCGAGGGCUACUUCUAUGGUGCCUACCAGAUGAUUCAUUACCUGAGCUUCUCUUACCUGCUCAACGGGUGCUUCUUCAUUCUGCACGCUCUGAUAGGAGAACUGGAACCCACGAAG